rnacentral:rRNA from 2 species
GGUUUCCGUAGGUGAACCUGCGGAAGGACAUUA